AACCCCAGUAGUAUAUUAUUAAUUACAGUAAACUGCAACUUUACCAAAGCAUUUCGCCAUGGGUUU
rnacentral:tRNA from 1 species